CCCAGCUUGCUGGGUGGAUUAGUGGCGAACGGGUGAGUAACACGUGAGUAACCUGCCCUUAACUCUGGGAUAAGCCUGGGAAACUGGGUCUAAUACCGGAUAGGAGCGUCCACCGCAUGGUGGGUGUUGGAAAGAUUUAUCGGUUUUGGAUGGACUCGCGGCCUAUCAGCUUGUUGGUGAGGUAAUGGCUCACCAAGGCGACGACGGGUAGCCGGCCUGAGAGGGUGACCGGCCACACUGGGACUGAGACACGGCCCAGACUCCUACGGGAGGCAGCAGUGGGGAAUAUUGCACAAUGGGCGAAAGCCUGAUGCAGCGACGCCGCGUGAGGGAUGACGGCCUUCGGGUUGUAAACCUCUUUCAGUAGGGAAGAAGCGAAAGUGACGGUACCUGCAGAAGAAGCACCGGCUAACUACGUGCCAGCAGCCGCGGUAAUACGUAGGGUGCGAGCGUUAUCCGGAAUUAUUGGGCGUAAAGAGCUCGUAGGCGGUUUGUCGCGUCUGUCGUGAAAGUCCGGGGCUUAACCCCGGAUCUGCGGUGGGUACGGGCAGACUAGAGUGCAGUAGGGGAGACUGGAAUUCCUGGUGUAGCGGUGGAAUGCGCAGAUAUCAGGAGGAACACCGAUGGCGAAGGCAGGUCUCUGGGCUGUAACUGACGCUGAGGAGCGAAAGCAUGGGGAGCGAACAGGAUUAGAUACCCUGGUAGUCCAUGCCGUAAACGUUGGGCACUAGGUGUGGGGACCAUUCCACGGUUUCCGCGCCGCAGCUAACGCAUUAAGUGCCCCGCCUGGGGAGUACGGCCGCAAGGCUAAAACUCAAAGGAAUUGACGGGGGCCCGCACAAGCGGCGGAGCAUGCGGAUUAAUUCGAUGCAACGCGAAGAACCUUACCAAGGCUUGACAUGUUCUCGAUCGCCGUAGAGAUACGGUUUCCCCUUUGGGGCGGGUUCACAGGUGGUGCAUGGUUGUCGUCAGCUCGUGUCGUGAGAUGUUGGGUUAAGUCCCGCAACGAGCGCAACCCUCGUUCCAUGUUGCCAGCACGUAAUGGUGGGGACUCAUGGGAGACUGCCGGGGUCAACUCGGAAGGAAGGUGAGGACGACGUCAAAUCAUCAUGCCCCUUAUGUCUUGGGCUUCACGCAUGCUACAAUGGCCGGUACAAUGGGUUGCGAUACUGUGAGGUGGAGCUAAUCCCAAAAAGCCGGUCUCAGUUCGGAUUGGGGUCUGCAACUCGACCCCAUGAAGUCGGAGUCGCUAGG
rnacentral:rRNA from 2 species